rnacentral:pre_miRNA from 1 species
UGCCGAUGUCGGCUUGGGUUGUACCAUCUCGAAAUCCGGCUAUAACCAGGUCCACAUCUGCAUU